GGUUAAGCGACUAAGCGUACACGGUGGAUGCCCUGGCAGUCAGAGGCGAUGAAGGACGUGCUAAUCUGCGAUAAGCGUCGGUAAGGUGAUAUGAACCGUUAUAACCGGCGAUUUCCGAAUGGGGAAACCCAGUGUGAUUCGUCACACUAUCAUUAACUGAAUCCAUAGGUUAAUGAGGCGAACCGGGGGAACUGAAACAUCUAAGUACCCCGAGGAAAAGAAAUCAACCGAGAUUCCCCCAGUAGCGGCGAGCGAACGGGGAGCAGCCCAGAGCCUGAAUCAGUGUGUGUGUUAGUGGAAGCGUCUGGAAAGGCGCGCGAUACAGGGUGACAGCCCCGUACACAAAAAUGCACAUGCUGUGAGCUCGAUGAGUAGGGCGGGACACGUGGUAUCCUGUCUGAAUAUGGGGGGACCAUCCUCCAAGGCUAAAUACUCCUGACUGACCGAUAGUGAACCAGUACCGUGAGGGAAAGGCGAAAAGAACCCCGGCGAGGGGAGUGAAAAAGAACCUGAAACCGUGUACGUACAAGCAGUGGGAGCACGCUUAGGCGUGUGACUGCGUACCUUUUGUAUAAUGGGUCAGCGACUUAUAUUCUGUAGCAAGGUUAACCGAAUAGGGGAGCCGAAGGGAAACCGAGUCUUAACUGGGCGUUAAGUUGCAGGGUAUAGACCCGAAACCCGGUGAUCUAGCCAUGGGCAGGUUGAAGGUUGGGUAACACUAACUGGAGGACCGAACCGACUAAUGUUGAAAAAUUAGCGGAUGACUUGUGGCUGGGGGUGAAAGGCCAAUCAAACCGGGAGAUAGCUGGUUCUCCCCGAAAGCUAUUUAGGUAGCGCCUCGUGAAUUCAUCUCCGGGGGUAGAGCACUGUUUCGGCAAGGGGGUCAUCCCGACUUACCAACCCGAUGCAAACUGCGAAUACCGGAGAAUGUUAUCACGGGAGACACACGGCGGGUGCUAACGUCCGUCGUGAAGAGGGAAACAACCCAGACCGCCAGCUAAGGUCCCAAAGUCAUGGUUAAGUGGGAAACGAUGUGGGAAGGCCCAGACAGCCAGGAUGUUGGCUUAGAAGCAGCCAUCAUUUAAAGAAAGCGUAAUAGCUCACUGGUCGAGUCGGCCUGCGCGGAAGAUGUAACGGGGCUAAACCAUGCACCGAAGCUGCGGCAGCGACGCUGAUGCGUUGUUGGGUAGGGGAGCGUUCUGUAAGCCUGCGAAGGUGUGCUGUGAGGCAUGCUGGAGGUAUCAGAAGUGCGAAUGCUGACAUAAGUAACGAUAAAGCGGGUGAAAAGCCCGCUCGCCGGAAGACCAAGGGUUCCUGUCCAACGUUAAUCGGGGCAGGGUGAGUCGACCCCUAAGGCGAGGCCGAAAGGCGUAGUCGAUGGGAAACAGGUUAAUAUUCCUGUACUUGGUGUUACUGCGAAGGGGGGACGGAGAAGGCUAUGUUGGCCGGGCGACGGUUGUCCCGGUUUAAGCGUGUAGGCUGGUUUUCCAGGCAAAUCCGGAAAAUCAAGGCUGAGGCGUGAUGACGAGGCACUACGGUGCUGAAGCAACAAAUGCCCUGCUUCCAGGAAAAGCCUCUAAGCAUCAGGUAACAUCAAAUCGUACCCCAAACCGACACAGGUGGUCAGGUAGAGAAUACCAAGGCGCUUGAGAGAACUCGGGUGAAGGAACUAGGCAAAAUGGUGCCGUAACUUCGGGAGAAGGCACGCUGAUAUGUAGGUGAAGCGACUUGCUCGUGGAGCUGAAAUCAGUCGAAGAUACCAGCUGGCUGCAACUGUUUAUUAAAAACACAGCACUGUGCAAACACGAAAGUGGACGUAUACGGUGUGACGCCUGCCCGGUGCCGGAAGGUUAAUUGAUGGGGUCAGCGCAAGCGAAGCUCUUGAUCGAAGCCCCGGUAAACGGCGGCCGUAACUAUAACGGUCCUAAGGUAGCGAAAUUCCUUGUCGGGUAAGUUCCGACCUGCACGAAUGGCGUAAUGAUGGCCAGGCUGUCUCCACCCGAGACUCAGUGAAAUUGAACUCGCUGUGAAGAUGCAGUGUACCCGCGGCAAGACGGAAAGACCCCGUGAACCUUUACUAUAGCUUGACACUGAACAUUGAGCCUUGAUGUGUAGGAUAGGUGGGAGGCUUUGAAGUGUGGACGCCAGUCUGCAUGGAGCCGACCUUGAAAUACCACCCUUUAAUGUUUGAUGUUCUAACGUUGACCCGUGAUCCGGGUUGCGGACAGUGUCUGGUGGGUAGUUUGACUGGGGCGGUCUCCUCCUAAAGAGUAACGGAGGAGCACGAAGGUUGGCUAAUCCUGGUCGGACAUCAGGAGGUUAGUGCAAUGGCAUAAGCCAGCUUGACUGCGAGCGUGACGGCGCGAGCAGGUGCGAAAGCAGGUCAUAGUGAUCCGGUGGUUCUGAAUGGAAGGGCCAUCGCUCAACGGAUAAAAGGUACUCCGGGGAUAACAGGCUGAUACCGCCCAAGAGUUCAUAUCGACGGCGGUGUUUGGCACCUCGAUGUCGGCUCAUCACAUCCUGGGGCUGAAGUAGGUCCCAAGGGUAUGGCUGUUCGCCAUUUAAAGUGGUACGCGAGCUGGGUUUAGAACGUCGUGAGACAGUUCGGUCCCUAUCUGCCGUGGGCGCUGGAGAACUGAGGGGGGCUGCUCCUAGUACGAGAGGACCGGAGUGGACGCAUCACUGGUGUUCGGGUUGUCAUGCCAAUGGCACUGCCCGGUAGCUAAAUGCGGAAGAGAUAAGUGCUGAAAGCAUCUAAGCACGAAACUUGCCCCGAGAUGAGUUCUCCCUGACUCCUUGAGAGUCCUGAAGGAACGUUGAAGACGACGACGUUGAUAGGCCGGGUGUGUAAGCGCAGCGAUGCGUUGAGCUAACCGGUACUAAUGAACCGUGAGGCUUAACCUU
rnacentral:rRNA from 1 species